rnacentral:rRNA from 1 species
UGGGGUAUUCCGCAUGGGCGAAAGCCUGACGGACAAUCUCGCGUGAGGGAUGACUGCCUAUGGGUUGUAAACCUCUUUUUUCAGGGAGGAAUAAAUGACGUGUACCUGAAGAAUAAGCAUCGGCUAACUCCGUGCCAGCAGCCGCGGUAAUA